rnacentral:lncRNA from 1 species
CAUUUUUCUGCCUUCAAAGAGUGCACGGUGUUGGGGAAUUUAGCAACAAAGCAAUGAUAAUGAUCUUAAUACCUGCCGUGGCCUAGGACUAGGUUCUGUGCAAAAGAAGCAGAAAUGGUUGUAGUAAAAUCCAGAGUAGGACCCCCGAGAGUCCCUACAAAAGGAAGAGAGAUUUAUCUUCAGUCCUUUGGAUUUUGUUUUUCGUUUUCUCUUAGCUACUUUUAUUCUGUCUCAGGUCAAGAGAUUUAAUCAGUCAACAGGGCAAAAUUGGGAAACUGUCUAAAAUAUACAGUGUCUUCCUACAGUAUACAUCCAUCAAAAGUCUAGGAAAGAAUGUCCCGGACUGAGGUUAAGGAUUGUGGCAAAGCCUGGCUAGCUACUCACUGAACCCAUUUCCUUCUAGGCAGACAGUUACUUCAUUUCCCUGGCUCCUCUGUGGUCAGGUAAGGUCAUGGGGCUGAGUUAUGGUCAAUAGAAUGUGGGCAGAAAUGAAAUGUACCUUUCCAGUUCCAGCCCGUGAAAAGAUUGCCUAUUUCAUCCCCUCUGUUCCUCCUUCCUUCAGUGGCAAGCUUGGAAGCUAUAUAUUGAAGCUUGGAAGUGGAAGCUACAAGUUGGAAGGAGGUUGGAUUCCUGGAAGAGAACUGCCUAUGCAAAAAGAGCAACCAUUCUGGACUUUAUUAAAGUGA